UAGGGAAUCUUCGGCAAUGGACGAAAGUCUGACCGAGCAACGCCGCGUGAGUGAAGAAGGUUUUCGGAUCGUAAAACUCUGUUGUUAGAGAAGAACAAGGACGUUAGUAACUGAACGUCCCCUGACGGUAUCUAACCAGAAAGCCACGGCUAACUACGUGCCAGCAGCCGCGGUAAUACGUAGGUGGCAAGCGUUGUCCGGAUUUAUUGGGCGUAAAUCGAGCGCAGGCGGUUUCUUAAGUCUGAUGUGAAAGCCCCCGGCUCAACCGGGGAGGGUCAUUGGAAACUGGGAGACUUGAGUGCAGAAGAGGAGAGUGGAAUUCCAUGUGUAGCGGUGAAAUGCGUAGAUAUAUGGAGGAACACCAGUGGCGAAGGCGGCUCUCUGGUCUGUAACUGACGCUGAGGCUCGAAAGCGUGGGGAGCAAACAGG
rnacentral:rRNA from 2 species